AAGAAUUCAGUACUGACAGUCAAGGAACUCAGGUACAUGCUCUGUAGAAUGGUCCCCAAGUGAGCCGAGGACAAGAUCCCACUUGUCUUCAUGGGAUAAUACUGAAGGCUAACAGCAUUUUCCUGGUCCGUCACUACUGUUCCACAAGACAGUUCCUGAGAACCAUCCCAUCUGCAGACCGCAGGAGAACAAGGUCUCAGUGUUGGGAAGACAUGCUUCAACCAGGGGGCGGGUGCUAGGUUUUAUGGAAGAAGAAGCUGAGUAUGCCAGAGUGGAGCUGAACAAGUGCAUGACGCUCAGUGCAUGACAGGACCCAUGGGUGGCCAUCCUUGAUCUCCCUGCGUACUUGUCCUUUCCUGAUGCAUCUCCAAUCAGACAGAAUGAGCAGAAAUGUGAGAUCAGCUGAUACUUUUUGAGUCUGGUCGCCUAUCUUCUGGAUCAUAUCACAUAAGCUAUUUUAUACUCCUACUACAAAACUCUUAAAAGUGUAAGUCACUGGGAAGAAAAGACACAUUGGAGAACAGUUGCAGUGUUGCACUGGCAAGUGUCACAAGUUAAGAGGAAGAAUAAUCAUUUCCUGCGUUACCUGUUAUCCCUUAGAGCUCUCUCAACCAUGCUUAGCACAUAAAAUCUGACAAGAUUAGAACCUCAGGUGGUAUGGCUUCAGGCAAAGGAGAAAUUCAGUUACCUGUCAGUAGUAAUAAUAAAGAGAUGAGUGAAACCA
rnacentral:lncRNA from 1 species